GAUGAAGAACGUAGCGAAAUGCGAUAAGUAAUGUGAAUUGCAGAAUUCAGUGAAUCAUCGAAUCUUUGAACGAACAUUGCGCCCGCCAGUAUUCUGGCGGGCAUGCCUGUCUGAGCGUCAUUUCAACCCUCAUGCCCCUAGGGCGUGGUGUUGGGGAUCGGCCAAAGCCCGCGAGGGACGGCCGGCCCCUAAAUCUAGUGGCGGACCCGUCGUGGCCUCCUCUGCGAAGUAGUGAUAUUCCGCAUCGGAGAGCGACGAGCCCCUGCCGUUAAACCCCCAACUUUCCAAGGUUGACCUCAGAUCAGGUAGGAAUACCCGCUGAACUUAAGCAUAUCAAUAAGCGGAGGA
rnacentral:misc_RNA from 1 species